UGGAUACAAUGGGGUAGCUUAGGGUGAGAACAUUUUCGAAUAUCUCCCAAGCUUCACUUAGUGUUUCAUCUUAAAAUUGUUGAAAAGCAAUAAUUUCAUUUCUAAACCA